ACUUAUAGGCAGUGCGAAAAAUGUUAAUGAACAUGAAUACUAAAAUAUACCUUAUCCUGCAGAGCUUAAUGUGAUUUAGCAUUACGCUUGGACAUGAAGAAUUAAGGAACCUGAAUAGAUUGAAACUAAGGUUAUUGUUUCUCUCGGAAAUAUGACCUACGUCACGUAUUAAACCAGGAAACCGCUAUAGGUCAUUACCGAAAUUCGUAAUUAAAACGUAAAACUACGCACAUUUUGAGAGCUGUCCUUCACCACUUAAAAAAACUUGCAUCGAAACAUCUCCUCGGGAUAUCUGAUGACCUAGUACUUGGUGCAUUAUUUUUCACAAAUCGGAAAAAAUCGGAAAAUCCCUGUGAUUGUUGAAAUUUUUCGGCUGCGCGAGGCACUAAUUUUUUUUUUAACUAAUUAAAACUGUAAUAAUAAA